UCGGGUGAAUGAGUAAAGUGGCGCACGGGUGAGUAACACGUGGGUAAUCUGCCUUGGAGUCCGGAAGAGCAGUGCGAGAGCGGUGCUAAUACCGGAUAAGCUCACGGUUUUAAUACAGUGGGAAAAGAUGGCCUCUGUUUCAAGCUAUCGCUUNAAGAUGAGCCCGCGUACCAUUAGCUUGUUGGUGGGGUAACGGCCUACCAAUGCGACGAUAGUUAGCUGGCCUGAGAUGGCGGCCAGCCACACUGGAACUGAGAGAGGGUCCAGACUCCUACGGGAGGCAGCAGUGAGGAAUAUUGCGCAAUGGGGGAAACCCUGACGCAGCGACGCCGUGUGAGUGAUGAAUGUUUUCGGAUCGUAAAGCUCUGUCAGAUGGGAAGAAUAAGGGCAUGGAAAAUAUUCAUGUCCGAUGACGGUACCAUCAGAGGAAGCACCGGCUAACUCCGUGCCAGCAGCCGCGGUAAUACGGAGGGUGCAAGCGUUGUUCGGAAUUACUGGGCGUAAAGCGCGUGUAGGCGGACAUGUAGGUCAGUUGUGAAAUCCCCUGGCUCAACCAGGGAGCUGCUUCUGAAACCAUAAUAGUCUUGAGUACGUCAGAGGAGAGUGGAAUUCCCAG
rnacentral:rRNA from 1 species